rnacentral:rRNA from 1 species
AAAUGAGGUCAAGCUACUAAGAGCAUACGGUGAAUGCCUUGGUACCAGGAGGCGAUGAAGGACGUAGGUAGCUGCGAUAAGCUACGGUGAGCCGCUACACAGGCUUCGAUCCGUAGAUUUCCGAAUGGGGAAACCCGCGCCGGUGAAUGCCGGCCACCACACGCUGAAUACAUAGGCGUGUUGGAGCCAACCCAGGGAACUGAAACAUCUAAGUACCUGGAGGAAAAGAAAACAACAGUGAUUCCCCUAGUAGCGGCGAGCGAACGGGGACCAGCCCAAACCUGCAUUGUGUAAGCCUGUGAGCGUUGCAAUGUGGGUGUGUGGGGCCAUCUGGUCGUCAUCACAGUGACGGCAUGGAGUAAGAAAACAAGUCAAGAGCUGAACGGUCUGGAAAGACCGGCCAUAGAGGGUGAUAGCCCCGUAAGUGGUUCUGAUUUGUCUCCAGGAUGGCUACCCGAGUACCGCGGGACACGAGAAACCCUGUGGGAAUGACGGAGGCCCACCUCCGAAGGCUAAAUACUACCUGGUGACCGAUAGUGGACGAGUACCGUGAGGGAAAGGUGAAAAGUACCCCUAGCAGGGGAGUGAAAUAGACCCUGAAACCGUAUGUUUACAAGCAGUCGGAGCCCUAUGGCUUAUUCUUCGGAAUAGACCAGGGCGACGGCGUGCCUUUUGCAUAAUGAGCCUGCGAGUUACGAUCAGUGGCAAGGUUAAGCCGAUAGGUGUAGCCGAAGCGAAAGCGAGUCUGAAUAGGGCGAUUCAGUCGCUGGUCGUAGACCCGAAACCGUGCGAUCUAUCCAUGACCAGGUUGAAGCGCGAGUAAAAUCGCGUGGAGGACCGAACCCACCACGGUUGAAAACUUGGGGGAUGAGUUGUGGAUAGGGGUGAAAGGCCAAUCAAGCUCGGAAAUAGCUGGUUCUCUUCGAAAUAUAUUUAGGUAUAGCCUCGUGUAUCUCUGCCGGAGGUAGAGCACUGGAUGGGUUAGGGGCCUCACCAGGUUACCGACCCCAACCAAACUCCGAAUGCCGGUAAGAGUAAUCACGGGAGUCAGACUGCGGGAGAUAACUUUCGUAGUCGAGAGGGAAACAACCCAGACCGCCAGUUAAGGCCCCUAAUUCCAUGCUAAGUGGGAAAGGAUGUAGGAGCGCACAGACAACCAGGAGGUUGGCUUAGAAGCAGCCACCCUUUAAAGAAAGCGUAAUAGCUCACUGGUCUAGUGAACCCGCGCCGAAAAUGUACCGGGGCUCAAGCAUGGAGCCGAAACUGCGGAUUGUCAGACUUAGGUUUGGCAGUGGUAGGAGAGUAUUCCAACGACGCUGAAGCGUGACCGUAAGGACGCGUGGAGUUUUUGGAAGAGCUUAUGCAGGCAUGAGUAGCGAUAAAACGGGUGAGAAACCCGUUCGCCGUAAACCCCAGGUUUCCUGGGCCAGGUUAAUCCUCCCAGGGUUAGUCGGAUCCUAAGCCGAGGCCGAAAGGCGUAGGUGAUGGUAAGCAGGUUAAUAUUCCUGUACCGGCAAGUCAUCGGCGAAACUAGAAGGGACGGAGAAGGAUAGGUCGGCCACCGGGUGGUCGUGCUGGUUCAAGCGUGUAGGUGGUCAGCUCAGGACGCGUAGGCGACAAACGGGCAGGCAACACCGAGGCGUGAUGAGGAGGCGAAUCCUUGAGAUUCGCCGUAACCGACUAAUUCCAUGCUUCCAAGAAAAGCUUCGAGUGGAGAUGAUUUGCUGUCCGUACCGCAAACCAACACAGGUGGGUGGGGAGAGUAUCCCAAGGCGCUUGAGAGAACUCUGGUUAAGGAACUCGGCAAAUUGACACCGUAACUUCGGGAGAAGGUGUGCCCUCAUUACGUGUACGGACUUGCUCCGGAAGCGGAAGGGGGUUGCAGAGAAACGGCGGUAGCGACUGUUUACUAAAAACACAGGACUCUGCGAAAUCGUAAGAUGAUGUAUAGGGUCUGACGCCUGCCCGGUGCCGGAAGGUUAAGAGGAGUGGUUAGACUUCGGUCGAGGCUGCGAAUUGAAGCCCCGGUAAACGGCGGCCGUAACUAUAACGGUCCUAAGGUAGCGAAAUUCCUUGUCGGGUAAGUUCCGACCUGCACGAAUGGCGUAACGACUUCCGCACUGUCUCAACCAGGGACUCAGCGAAAUUGAAUUCUCGGUGAAGAUGCCGAGUACCCGCAGCAAGACGGAAAGACCCCGUGAACCUUCACUAUAGCUUAACACUGAAUUUUGGGCCAUUCUGUGUAGAAUAGGUGGGAGACUUUGACGCGUGGACGCCAGUUUGCGCUGAGUCACCGGUGAAAUACCACCCUGGCUGGUCUGGAAUUCUAACCGUAGCCCGUUAUCCGGGUUCGGGACACUGUUUGGUGGGUAGUUUGACUGGGGCGGUCGCCUCCUAAAAAGUAACGGAGGCGCACGAAGGUUCCCUCAGCCUGAUUGGAAACCAGGCGUAGAGUGCAAAGGCAUAAGGGAGCUUGACUGCGAGAUCGACAGAUCGAGCAGGUACGAAAGUAGGUCUUAGUGAUCCGGUGGUUCUGUGUGGAAGGGCCAUCGCUCAACGGAUAAAAGGUACUCCGGGGAUAACAGGCUUAUCUCCCCCAAGAGUUCACAUCGACGGGGAGGUUUGGCACCUCGAUGUCGGCUCAUCGCAUCCUGGGGCUGGAGCAGGUCCCAAGGGUUUGGCUGUUCGCCAAUUAAAGCGGUACGCGAGCUGGGUUUAGAACGUCGUGAGACAGUUCGGUCCCUAUCUGCUGUGGGCGCAGGAAGUUUGAGAGGAUCUGUCCUUAGUACGAGAGGACCGGGAUGGACGUAUCACUGGUGUUCCGGUUGUCGCGCCAGCGGCAUCGCCGGGUAGCCACAUACGGAAGGGAUAACCGCUGAAAGCAUCUAAGCGGGAAGCCCACCUCGAGAUUAUACUUCCCUGGACUUCGGUCCCUGAAGACCCCUUGAAGACUACGAGGUAGAUAGGCUGGGUGUGGACGCGUGGCAACACGUGGAGCUAACCAGUACUAAUGGGUCGUGAGGCUUGUCCUCUCCUUUUCU